UCGAAAGAGAGCCGUAACACAGGUGCUGCAUGGCUGUCGUCAGCUCGUGUCGUGAGAUGUUGGGUUAAGUCCCGCAACGAGCGCAACCCUUGUCAUUAGUUGCUACAUUCAGUUGGGCACUCUAAUGAGACUGCCGGUGACAAGCCGGAGGAAGGUGGGGAUGACGUCAAGUCCUCAUGGCCCUUAUAGGUGGGGCUACACACGUCAUACAAUGGCUGGUACAAAGGGUUGCCAACCCGCGAGGGGGAGCCAAUCCCAUAAAGCCAGUCGUAGUCCGGAUCGUAGUCUGCAACUCGACUACGCGAAGUCGGAAUCGCUAGUAAUCGUGGAUCAGAAUGUCACGGUGAAUACGUUCCCGGGUCUU
rnacentral:rRNA from 1 species